UUUACGAUUCAAAGGAUUUUCCAGUGUGCCGCUAGAUGGUGUUGUAUUGUUUUUAAAAUGGCGAAAUGUGUGAACGAGUUAUGUCAUCUUCUGUAUUAGAAUUUUCAUGUUUUACUGCCAAAAUCAACCAAUUAUUUACAUAAAAAAUGUACCUGCUGUCUGGUCAUCAGAUUAAAUUUGGACCCUUUUUUAAGAACAAAUUGCUCAACACUUUCUGCAACUCACACUCUCAGCUUCAUCUACAUCAUCCUCUAACAUUUAAGACAAAACUUCUAGCUGUUUUUCCCAAAAGUUGUGGAAUUGGAUAUAUGGUUACAGGUUCAUUCUUGCCUGAAAGAUGUUUACACCUUUGAACACUUUUGAUGGGGUUGUUGCGUCAUGAAAUUGUAUUGCUGACAUUCCCUGCAUCUCCCACUCCAUAGCUUCAAGAAACGAGUAAUAGGAAGCCUACAACAGAUUGAGGAAUUCAUAGGCUGUGUGGUAUGCCAUUGGAUUUCGCGAGUCAGCCGCCGAUGUCAAUCUACAACGCAGUUUCUUUAUUGGAAUUGUGUGGCCUGGCACAGAGAUCCUUGAUGCUGGCCUUUGUCCAUUACAGAAGAGUGACUUCUACCAACUUUCUACUCCAUCCUUAUCUUCGCUACUCACACUCAUCUAGCUGCUCUGCUUAUUAUGCUGCUUAACAAUUUGUCGUACUUCACUGACGACCAGUCGCUUCCGUCCGCCUGUCACUCUCCACGGAAUUAUGCCCAGGUAAUGCAGAGGAGACGUCGAGAAGAUGGAAUUCCGAGACUCGUCAUCAACGUGGAUCAUCGUCUUGUUGGUAUUAAUUCGUUAUGUGUUAGUUAACCCGUUGGCUGCCACGCCUUUGUUCUCCCCUGCACGGGCCGCGCUGUUCGGUCUCGUGGUUUACAAGCCGCGGGGUCGGAAAGUCGCCAAGCCCAA